ensembl:lncRNA
ACAGGUACAGACAAUGAGACAGGAACGGACAAUGGGACAGGUAAGGACAAUGACACAGGCACAGACAAUGAGACAGGUACAGACAAUGGGCCAUCUAAGGACAAUGGGACAGGUACAGACAAAGGGACAGGUACGGACAACGGUACAGUUACAGACAACUGGACAGGUACGGACAACGGGACAGGUACAGACAAUGGCCCAGGGAAGGACAACGGGACAGGUGUGGAGAACGGGACAGGUGUGGACAGCAGGACACGAUGCCAGUGAGGAAAAGGGCACAGAGUUCUUCUGAACGACACGAGACGGUCUCCAAGAAACAGAAUUAAGCUGGAAAGAACAGUGCACCACCCAAGUGUGGGCUGCGGUGUCUAUUUCCCUCCAAAGAGAACAGGAUGCAAAGGGGAGAAAGAGGAACCUGAGCUCUGCAUGCUCAGGAAUCCGGGGGGAUGGGCAGAGCCCUGGGACUCGGCUGGGCGGCCAACAGUGCGCCGGCAACCUGGCCAUUGCUCAAGUUCCUUUGUGGUGACCCAGUCAGGAGCACAGUGUCUGGGGAGCUGGACCAGAGCAGUCCGGAGGGCGAACAGCCAACCCCACAUCACCAACGUGCACCUUCCUGGGGUCCUUUCACUGUAAACCCACAGCGAAGCAUCCUGGGAAAAUCUCAGAACCUCGGCAAAUCCGUGCACACGUGGCCCUCAUGCCAGACCUCCGAGAGGCCGAGACUCCUGCUCAGAUCCCAUCCACCCUCUCACCGAGCCGCCUCCCCCGCAACUGGCUGGGGCUACCGGCAGGCCGGGAGCAGGAGAAGCCCUGGCGGCCUCGCUCUGCAGGACGUUAGUCUCAUGAGAGGAGCAAAUGAAGCCGGAUGCCCACUGCCCAGGGCACGUCCAGUCACCACCUCGAGCCCACAGACCCGGCUCGAACGCUGCAUGGACCCGGCCCCCAGAAGGUGUCCAGGACCCCGUGGUGGACACCACCAGCCCCUGCCCUCCCUACAGCACUGGGGUGGAGGUAAAGGAGGGGCUGGGUUGGGACCCCCCUCCCCUGGACAGCCGCAGGGGCGGGGGUCUUCCCGGGGGCUUUGGCACGGCCACAGCGACCCUUCCAGCAGAGGGAAGUCACAGCGUGGAGCAGCUCUGGAGAGCAGGCCCCUGAGCGGUGGCAAGGGUGUAAGCAUUGAGGGGUGGCCGCCGUCCUGCCCAGGAGAGCCCAGGCCCCGGGGGUCCCUGCAGGCAGACUCUCGGGGCACUCAGAGCCCUGCUGAGCGUCCCUUCCUCACACCUCUCUGCUCUGAGGUCUCAAGGGCCUCGAUGCGCCAGGGACGGUAUUGGCAGUUGCUUUAGCUUUCGUGUGGGGGGAACAGGCCGAACUAAAAGGAAGUUUGAACCAGUCCUCAGACUCGGGGCAUACUUAACUCUCCCUGAAAUUCAGAGCUGCCAUGCGGAUUCUCCGGAUGUUGGGUGGAAGCUUGUUCGGCUCAAGAAUCCUGUCUUGCGCGGCUGUGAAGCAGACCCAGUUACAAACCAUACGACGCAAACGUCUGAAGACCAGAAACAGGCUCUUUCCAUAGGCAGAUGCCUGGGUACCAUCAGGACACCCAGGGCAGUGCCACUCAGGACACCAGGCCCAGGAAGCUGGCCGGGACCCUCCACUUUCUUCACAAACACCCAGACUGUAAGUCCCACCGUGAUGUGCCCCCGGAGACGAACCGGGGUGAGCUGCAACCUCCGGUGUGAACAGCGAAACCCAGGCCAGUGGGCACCUGGUCCUGACCUCUGACCCACACCGCCACCUUCCCUGAGCGCCAGGAGGCGACCUGAGUUCUCAGUGACUGUCCAUGGCAGGGGUGUGGGUCAAAGGGACAUGCAUGGGUCAAGGGACAUGAGGGCCGUCAGCUUAUCCCAGAGCCCUGGGGCAGACGCGGCGGCGAGGCCAGCUGAACCGUGGAGCCCUGAGCAGCCCCAGCUUCUCCAGCCAUUUCCCCAUCUUCUCCAUUCCCUGUCUCCUUGGGGACAAGAAGCUGUUUUGAAGAGCAGACCCUACCUGGCCACACCACCCAGGCCUGGCCACCCCCUAGCCGUGGGGCUGUCACACAGGACAGAGCUACCUCAGUGGCCACCAGGGUCCAGCAGCACAUGGGGCCCAGCGUGGGAGCCUUGGGGUGCUCCAUGUGAGCUUUGGGGUGCUCCAUGUGAGACUCAGGGUGUUCAAGGGGAGCCUUGGGGUGCUCCUGCAGGAGCAGACAAAGGAGACAACCAGGGAAGCUGCCCCAAACUGCUGCUUUGAAAGGAAGCCUCUCUCCCUCACUCCCCUCCAUCGGGGGCUGACCCCCCCAGACUCAUAGGGGCCAGAGCUUCCUGCCAGUGCCUGCACCCCGCUUCCCACCCGAGAGGAUCUCCCCGCUCAGGCUCCACCGCUCAGACCCCUCCCCAGGUUGGGUCAGGCCAGGCUCCGCCGCCGUGGCAGGAACCACAUCUGAGGGCGGGCAUCGGGCGAGGGUGGGGGCCGCGCUGCCCCAGAGGCGUGGCCCGCGUCCCCUCCCGCGCAGAUGUUUCCUGCUGACGCUGCACAUUCCUGCUUUAACGCGAUGCCCGCCCAGCAUGAGGCACGUGGUGGAGAUGUGCCGACCCAGCCCUUCAUCUCGCUGUCGCAAUUCAUUCUCUUGGCAGAGGCUUGGGGGCUGAGCUGGAGUCUCGGUUCUCCACGGACGCGGGCUGCCCCCAACCCAGGGUGUGGCCGGAAAGGCAGCUGGGAGUGACGCAUCACGGCCAGGGGAGCAUCUGACCACAGCUUUCAGAUGUGAGACGAGGAGCUGAGCUCUCGGCCCCGUGGAGUUUCCCUCGUGGCUUCAGCGGGCAGCGUUCCAGGUCCCCGACCAUCCUCUGUGCCCGUGUGUGCUGCAAGCCCCUGGUGGCUGUUUCCAUCGUCCCAUGAGCCCAUGGGGCUCCUGCCCUGGACACAGUGAUGGGCCCGCAGCCCCUCCAAGCUCCUCUGUCCCUUCCCACCUGCACUGACGGCCAGGCCUGUUUUUCUGUGAUGGGGGGCUCGCCCCUUUCAGCCCUAAGGGCCCCUUGGCUUCCAAACCUGGAUUCAGAGACCAGCCCAGGUCACAGGUCACAGGCUGCAAGGCUUCGAGUCCUGAACAGUUUCUAUGAACAAAACAAACCAGGCGACAGCCCUGGCAGGUGUCGGUCCCUCAGUGCCCCUGCCCUGUAGGUGCCCAGGUUCCGCAGCGGGGCUCCUGCCUCCUCCAAGGGACCCUUCUCCCACAGGGUGUCGGGGGGCAUCUGGGGAGACCCGUGCACGACGGUGCCAGGCAGGCCUCGUGGGGGCCCUGCGCGUCCUCCUGCUCCACCAACUUCCCACCGCAUUCCCUGGUUCAGAAGUUGCCUCGUCAACACCAUGGCAGGAUCUGAGCUCCCCACAGCAGCUCUCAGACUCUGGCCCCUCCGUCCUACCCCCAUCCCCUUCCCCAGAUGCCUUGGACAAGAGGACACGCUGCCUGUUCAGCAGUCCCCCCAUUUCAUUGGCAGGAAGGAGGUUCCCAUUCAGAAAGCAGGACUUUUCACCUCCUCCUUAAAUCCAAGAUAAUCUAGGACCUGGGCUGUAGGUAUAGCUUUCUGGCACCCUGGUCAUUUUGGUCAAACAAAAUGCCCCAGCCUGUGUCCUGACCUGCACACCCUACCUGCUGAUGGGUGAAGAAAGCCCCCAGCUGUCCUGGGUGCAAAAGCAGGCUCUCCCUUCCCCACCGUGAGGCUGUGUCCGGUGAGACCCUCCCCUGCAGACACGGGCACACUGGGCACGUGCUGAGAUGCUAGGAGAACCAACUGGAUCCGGAACAUUCUCCCGCCCCGCCCUCUCACCCACGAUUUCUCCAGCCUCACACCCUGGCUGCCCCCACGGCCUCCCCUGCCUGUUACUGGUGCAUGUCCACCCUCUGCACCUCCCCUGCUCCCCGUUUCUACCAGAACAGAACCCAAAUCUCUGUGCCAGGCCUGUGACCCUCUAUUGCCGCAGAAUAAGAAUUAGUGACUUAAAAU